rnacentral:rRNA from 1 species
GAUGAACGCUGGCGGCGUGCCUAAUACAUGCAAGUCGAACGAACAGAUAAGGAGCUUGCCCCUUUGACGUUAGCGGCGGACGGGUGAGUAACACGUGGAUAACCUACCUAUAAGACUGGGAUAACUUCGGGAAACCGGAGCUAAUACCGGAUAACAUAUUGAACCGCAUGGUUCAAUAGUGAAAGGCGGCUUUGCUGUCACUUAUAGAUGGAUCCGCGCCGUAUUAGCUAGUUGGUAAGGUAACGGCUUACCAAGGCAACGAUACGUAGCCGACCUGAGAGGGUGAUCGGCCACACUGGAACUGAGACACGGUCCAGACUCCUACGGGAGGCAGCAGUAGGGAAUCUUCCGCAAUGGGCGAAAGCCUGACGGAGCAACGCCGCGUGAGUGAUGAAGGUCUUCGGAUCGUAAAACUCUGUUAUCAGGGAAGAACAAAUGUGUAAGUAACUGUGCACAUCUUGACGGUACCUGAUCAGAAAGCCACGGCUAACUACGUG